UCGCUUCGUGGAUCGCUAUUCCUCUCCCUUUCUAUCCUUCGUUUCGAUCGUACUGUUCGAUUGGUAUACUUUUAUCGUUUGAUUCGAUUGAUCGAAAUGGAAGAUCUUUCUUUUUUUCUUAUAGAAAGAGAGAUGCUCGAUUUAUAUAAUAGAUUUAUAUAGUUUUUCCAUGGAUUUUAGUGAAGAGCAACUUAACCUAUCUUUAACUUUGUUUGUAGCGUGAAUGAAGUUACGAAAAAUUUAACCUCUUCGAGGGACGCUGUAAGCAUCGAAAGACAUCUCUUACAUGUACAUAAUAGUUUCAAAGUAGUGAUUGUCGAGUGUUUUUAAUUUUUUUUCUUUCUCUUUACUUUUUUAAUUUUAAUUAUUAUUAUUAAAAUAAGAAAUUAAACAUAUGUGCAGUAUGGUUAAAGAGGUUAAAACGGUGGAAUUAGAAGAUACAGUUUUUCAUGGACAAGAAGAAUCAAGAAUCAAGAUUUAAAAUCUUAUAGGGAAAAUUGAAAUUGUGAAACGGAUAAUAUUGAUAAAAUGGACGAUGGAAUAGUAACUUUGGACACUUAGCUCGGAAAAAUUCUCGCCGUCGUGGAAAUUGAUGGAAAAUUUGAACACGUUCUAUAUCGUUACGGGAAGAGGAGAGAUUUAUGAGAACCCUCUUCUGUCUAGAUAUCGAAAAGAUAUUAAAAAAUUUAAAUCCUAUUAUCGGAAGAUUGGUGAGAGAUGUUGAAAAUUUCAAUCGCUCGCUACUUCCUAACCUCAAAAUUCCAUUUCUUAACCUCACGAAUCGAAGCGAAACGCGUUAUCCAUAAUUUAAUGCAAAACUUCAUCAACCUCCAAGGAAUGCAUUCCAACGAGCGACUCAUACUCCCAAAAGCAAUAUUUCCUUUAAAAUAUCGAGGUAAGGAGGGGUCGAAGGUCCGCAGUAUAAGAAACGUCGCACGCUGCGUGUUGUCGCUGGUCCGCGUGGCUUGUAAGGAGGAAGAAGAAGAAGUAGAAAAGGAAGAAUGGGAAAAGACGAGCGGAGGUUGGCGAUCGAUAGCCAAACUCCUCGUUUCUACAGUAAGAUAAGAAGACACGCGUUAUAUGCAUAGACUCUGGCUCGCUUUCGCGAUUCCUGAUACUGGAAACUGCCGCUUGCAACGAAUAGCUGAUAUCUGCACGAGAUAAGACGAAUUGCCUGGAAACCGGUAGUAAAACGGAAAAGAGGACAACCCUUUGACUAGGGGAACUGGUUGUUGUCGGAUGGGAAUCUUCUUUGGCCUUUGAGGUUGCUGGACAAGUUGGAUUCACAGGUGCUUAGAAGUGGAAAGGGAUGAAGAACUGGUUAAGGGUUUUGAAGAUUGUUUUGUUUAUGUGGGAAGCUUUAAAAGUUGGUUCAAUUGGUUAGAAAUGGUUAUUGAUGGUCUUAAAGGUUGCAUAUGAGAAUCUUCUUUGAUUUUUGAAGCUAUUGGAUAAGUUGGAUGGAAAGGAAUGAAGGAGUAAGAUUUUUGGAGAUAGUUUUGUUUAAGUGAUUUAUCCUUUAAUUGAUAUUAGGAAUGAUUAUUGAUCUUAAAAUUACAUUUGAAAAUCUUUUUUUCAGAUUAUUAGUUUAAAAGUUGGAUUCAUAGGAAUUUAGAGAUGGAAAGGAAUGAAGAAACAGUUAAAAAUUUUUUUGGAAAUAGUUUUGUUUAAUGGUUAGAUUGCUUAAUGAAUAAGAUAAUCCUUAAAUGUUUAUCUCUCAAGUAGUUAGAAUUAAAUGAUUUUAAAAAUUAUAAGAAUCUUCUGUGAUUUUUGAAGUUAUUAAGUAAAUU